GGACCCGGCCUGGGCGGGGCGGGCCGGGGGCGCGAAGGUGCCUGGGGCCGCGGCCGAAGUUGGGCCGAGAGCUGGCGGCCGCCCCUCGACGGGGUCGCAGGUGACACGCGAGGAAUCCCAGGGUGCCGAUCUGCGGAGUUCCUGUAGCCAAGUCGAAGGUGGCCCUGGGCAGGCACGGGUGUUAUGGUGCUGUCUUCAGCCAACAGAGCCAUUCUCUGGGGACUUCAUACGGGAAGAGAGUGACGGAUUUGGCGCUUCUGUGUUUCUGCUGCCUCAGUGAGGCCACUGCGGGAGUCGGUGCGGUGGACCCAUGUCGGGGCCCAGAGUGCGUCUCCAGUGCCUGUCAGUGCGGUGGACCCAUGUCCGGGCCCGGACGUGCCUCUCCAGCUGCCUGUCUGCUGGGCUUGCCUCCUCAAGACCACUGUGAAAAUCAGGGCCAGGGUGUAUCCUGAGCCUACAGGCCCUGUCCCCUCCCCCUAUGUCUGCAGGGGUUGAGGGCUGCACCCAGCUCGCUGGAGAAGGAGAGGCAGAUUUAGUGGACGCCUUUGGAAGCACCCUGUCCUGAUGGGGCUGCCUGUCACCACUGUGGACUGAGGCUUGGCAGAAUCUGCAGGUGGAGAAGGCUGUAUGUGGCCUUGGGGUGGAUGGAACCUGCAGAGCUGACUUCCUGCCCAAUAGGGACUUUCUGUGAGGCACCCUCAGCGAACCGGGGUCCUCAGCCAGCUCUACAGAGCACUUCUGUGUUGGGGUCAGGUGGAAGUCUGGGCCAGUAGGGCCCCAGCAGUCACUCAAUUAGGCCUGGCUCUGCUUCUGCCCUUAUUACACCAGGUGGGAUGCCACCCUGCGUCGCCUGGGGGUUGGCUUGGCUUGGGCCUGCCCUGCGGUGGAACUGGAUAUUUUCAGGGAGCCCAGCCUUUCCACACGCUAGCACAGUGCACAAUAUAGUUUUCAAAGUGCAGUUGAAAACUCAAAAGUAAACUUUUCAGUCACUCAAAGGUUUGCUUACUGAUCUGAAACACUCUGGCAACUUUUCGGACCAUGGGAGUCUGUUCACCUGAAACAUCUGUGAGAGGCCCGGCUCAGUGGCUCACCCCCAG
ensembl:lncRNA